UUUCGCAAUGCCCGAAAGGGUGACGAAGCGACGCCGCGUGCGGGAAGAAGGCCUUCGGGUUGUAAACCGCUGUCGGGAGUUAAGAAAUGUAAGGAUGUUAAUAGCAUCUUUGCUUGACUAAGGCUCCGGAGGAAGCCACGGCUAACUCUGUGCCAGCAGCCGCGGUAAUACAGAGGCGGCAAGCGUUGUUCGGAAUUAUUGGGCGUAAAGAGCACGUAGGCGGCUAUGUAAGUCGGUUGUGAAAGCCUUCCGCUCAACGGGAGAACAGCAUCCGAUACUGCAUGGCUUGAGUGCGGGAGGGGAGAGUGGAACUUCUGGUGGAGCGGUGAAAUGCGUAGAUAUCAGAAGGAACGCCGGCGGCGAAAGCGGCUCUCUGGCCCAUAACUGACGCUGAGUGUGCGAAAGCUAGGGGAGCAAACGGGAUUAGAUACCCCGGUAGUCCUAGCCGUAAACGAAGGGCACUAAGUAGAGGGGUUUUA
rnacentral:rRNA from 1 species